GCACGGGUGAGUAACACGUAUCCAACCUGCCGUCUACUCUUGGACAGCCUUCUGAAAGGAAGAUCAAUACAAGAUGGCAUCAUGAGUCCGCAUGUUCACAUGAUUAAAGGUAUUCCGGUAGACGAUGGGGAUGCGUUCCAUGAGAUAGUAGGCGGGGUAACGGCCCACCUAGUCUUCGAUGGAUAGGGGUUCUGAGAGGAAGGUCCCCCACAUAGGAACUGAGACACGGUCCAAACACCUACGGGAGGCAGCAGUGAGGAAAAUGGGUCAAUGGGCGAGAGCCUGAACAAGCCAAGUAGCGUGCCGGAUGACAGCCCUAUAGUUCGAAACUACCAUAAUAGAGGAAUACCAGUCGGGGAAUGGUACCCGUUUGCAUGUACUUUAUGGAUAAGGAUCGGGCUAACUCCGUGCCAGCAGCCGCGGUAAUACGGAGGAUCCGAGCGUUAUCCGGAUUUACUUGGGUUUAAAGGGAGCGUAGAUGGAUGUUUAAGUCAGUUGUGAAAGUUUGCGGCUCAACCGUAAAAUUGCAGUUGAUACUGGAUAUCUUGAGUGCAGUUGAGGCAGGCGGAAUUCGUGGUGUAGC
rnacentral:rRNA from 1 species